rnacentral:rRNA from 1 species
AACGAACGCUGGCGGCAUGCCUAACACAUGCAAGUCGAACGAGUACCUUCGGGUGCUAGUGGCGCACGGGUGAGUAACGCGUGGGAACCUGCCUUUCGGUACGGGAUAACGUCGGGAAACUGACGCUAAUACCGUAUAUGUCUUUGGAUGAAAGAUUUAUCGCCGGAAGAGGGGCCCGCGUCUGAUUAGGUAGUUGGUGAGGUAACGGCUCACCAAGCCUUCGAUCAGUAGCUGGUCUGAGAGGAUGAUCAGCCACACUGGGACUGCGAACCGGCCCAGACUCCUACGGGAGGCGGCAGUGGGGAAUAUUGGACAAUGGGCGGAAGCCUGAUCCAGCAAUGCCGCGUGAGUGAUGAAGGCCUUCGGGUUGUAAAGCUCUUUUGCCUGCGACGAUGAUGACGGUAGCAGGAGAAUAAGCCCCGGCUAACUUCGUGCCAGCAGCCGCAGUAA